rnacentral:rRNA from 1 species
GACGAACGCCUGGCGGCAGGCUUAACACAUGCAAGUCGCACGAGAACGCCCGGGCUUUGCCGGGGCAAGUACAGUGGCGGACGGGUGCGUAUCGCGUAGAUAACCUACCCUCAGGCGCGGGACAAUCGCGGGAAACCGCGGCUAAUACCGCACGUCGUCUGGCCCCCGCAUGGGGGCUAGAUGAAAGCUCGGGUUCGCCCGAGCGCCUUCGGAUGGGUCUGCGUUGGAUUAGCUUGUUGGUGAGGCAACGGCUCACCAAGGCAACGAUCCAUAGCUGGUCUGAGAGGACGAUCAGUCACACUGGGACUGAGACACGGCCCAGACUCCUACGGGAGGCAGCAGUGGGGAAUCUUGCACAAUGGGGUCACCCCUGAUGCAGCCAUGCCGCGUGGAGGAAGACACCCCUAUGGGGCGUAAACUCCUUUUCUGGACGAAGAAACCCCUGUAGGUUCAGGGCGCGACGGUAGUUCAGGAAUAAGCACCGGCUAACUCCGUGCCAGCAGCCGCGGUAAUACGGAGGGUGCAAGCGUUGUCCGGAAUCACUGGGUGUAAAGGGUGCGCAGGCGGGGCAGCAAGUCGGAUGUGAAACCCCAUGGCUCAACCAUGGAGGUGCAUUCGAAACUGUUGCUCUUGAGUCCCGGAGAGGUUGCCGGAAUUCGUGGUGUAGCGGUGAAAUGCGUAGAUAUCACGAGGAACACCAGAGGCGAAAGCGGGCAACUGGACGGGUACUGACGCUCAGGCACGAAAGCGUGGGGAGCAAACAGGAUUAGAUACCCUGGUAGUCCACGCCGUAAACGAUGAACGUUCGCCGUUAUCCCGCCUGAGGGAUAGUGGCUAAGCUAACGCGUUAAGCGUUCCACCUGGGGAGUACGAUCGCAAGGUUGAAACUCAAAGGAAUUGACGGGGGCCCGCACAAGCGGUGGAGCAUGUGGCUCAAUUCGAUGCAACGCGAAGAACCUUACCUAGGCUCGAACGCUAGAGGACCGCUUCUGAAAGGGAGCUUCCCCUUUGGGGCCUGUAGCGAGGUACUGCAUGGCUGUCGUCAGCUCGUGUCGUGAGAUGUUGGGUUAAGUCCCGCAACGAGCGUAACCCUUGUCGUUAGUUACCAGCGGGUAGUGCCGGGGACUCUAGCGAGACCGCCUGCGCAAGCAGUGAGGAAGGUGGGGAUGACGUCAAGUCAUCAUGGUCCUUACGCCUAGGGCUGCACACGUGCUACAAUGGUCGGGACAACGAGCAGCCACCUCGCGAGAGGGAGCGAAUCUCUCAAACCCGAUCGUAGUUCGGAUUGGAGUCUGCAACUCGACUCCAUGAAGCAGGAAUCGCUAGUAAUCGCGGAUCAGCAAUGCCGCGGUGAAUUCGUUCCCGGGCCUUGUACACACCGCCCGUCAAGCCAUGGAAGCUAAGAGCACCCGAAGUCCGUGAACUCGGCUCCAGCAUUGCGCUGAGAGAGAGCGGCCGAAAGGUGAAGCUUAGUAACUAGGCU